CUCAGGAUGAACGCUGGCGGCGUGCUUUAAGCAUGCAAGUCGAACGGGCCCCGCAAGGGGUCAGUGGCGGACGGGUGAGUACAAGCAAGGAACGUACCCUAAACAAUUGCAUAGCUCGUCGAAAGACGGGGUAAUUCAGUAUGUGAUCGUAAGAUUAAAGUGAUUAACUUCACGGUUUAGGAGCGGCCUUGUGCCUAUCAGCUAGUUGGUGGGGUAAUGGCCUACCAAGGCUACGACGGGUAGGGGGCGUGAGAGCGCGACCCCCCACAAUGGCACUGAGACACGGGCCAUACGUCUACGGACGGCAGCAACUGGGAAUAUUCGGCAAUGGACGAAAGUCUGACCGAGCGACGCCGCGUGAGGGAUGAAGUCUUUCGGGAUGUAAACCUCUUUUGACCCAUCAUCGAGGUGG
rnacentral:rRNA from 1 species